UACGAAGGGUGCAAGCGUUAAUCGGAAUUACUGGGCGUAAAGGGUGUGUAGGCGGUUGUUUAAGUCUGUCGUGAAAUCCCCGGGCUCAACCUGGGAAUGGCGAUGGAUACUGGACAGCUAGAGUGUGUCAGAGGAUGGUGGAAUUCCCGGUGUAGCGGUGAAAUGCGUAGAGAUCGGGAGGAACAUCAGUGGCGAAGGCGGCCAUCUGGGACAACACUGACGCUGAAGCACGAAAGCGUGGGGAGCAAACAGG
rnacentral:rRNA from 1 species